UACGGAGGGUGCAAGCGUUGUCCGGAUUCAUUGGGUUUAAAGGGUGCGUAGGCGGCCUAGUAAGUCAGCGGUGAAAUCCCCCCGCCCAACGGGGGAACUGCCGUUGAUACUGCUUGGCUUGAGUUCGCCCGAGGUCGCUGGAAUGCGUGGUGUAGCGGUGAAAUGCAUAGAUAUCACGCAGAACACCAAUUGCGAAGGCAGGUGACUGGGGCUGGACUGACGCUGAGGCACGAAAGUGUGGGGAGCAAACAGGAUUAGAUACCCUGGUAGUCCACACCGUAAACGAUGGAUACUAGGUGUCCGGUCCGUAGGACUGGGUGCCCAAGGGAAACCGAUAAGUAUCCCACCUGGGGAGUACGUCCGCAAGGAUGAA
rnacentral:rRNA from 1 species